GCCACCUUAACGUGGUGGAGGGGUUUGAGUAUCCCCAUGACCCAGAUGGAGGUUUUGGCUUGGGCUUCACCCAGUAGUGAGGCUUCCCAGGCAGGCUGCCAUUGGGGAGGGAUCAGACUAAGAGCGAUUCAAGGUUUUCAAUGAAGGACUACCAAAGGAAUCAGGUAUUUCAAGGAGACAAAGUUAUCCCAAGUCCGAUUUUGCAGGAAGUUUCUCUCUAUAAACAGUCAGUUAUCUUCCUCACUGAUAUAAAUGUCAAAGAAUUCAAUGUACUCCAAGGCCCUCCUGUGACUGCUAACUGUGGUUCCAUCAAGGUACCAGAAUGUGAGGAACUUAAGGUCAGAUGGGGUCUAAGAUAACAUCAGAAACAUAUCAGAACCAUAAAGCAUCUCAAGAUGAGGUUGUGUUGUUGAAGGAUGAGGGAUAUCUCUCCAGGCUGCAAUUGAUGGAGACAAAGCUAGACUACCUUCUACCACAAGUAGAUCUGUGGCCCAACUUUGCUUUGGAGUCUCAAGGAGCAACAAUUUUACGCAAGACAAGCUCAAAUACGUAUCACAGCCAUACUGGAAAAAGUGAUGCACGGAGCUGUUCAUUCAAGCUAAUAACUACCAUUGAAUACAUUGUAAAAUAAUUGACUUGAUGGUGAAAGUCAAUUUUUUUGCAUUCUGAGGUGUCAAUUUUGAUUCAGACUGAAUUAAUCACACUUCUGAAGGAAAGAAAGCAAAUAUUUUGAUUUCUCUCAAAACAUACUGACAGGAAAUGAUGUAAUGAUUUGAAUCUGAGUCACGUGAGAAGAAGUUGUGGAGAAGUGCUUGGAGAGCAUCGUCCGUUUCGGCAUGGGGAAGAAAGAAUGAUUAACGUCCUAGCAUUUAAUCGAAGAAUAAACCUGCGGGUGCUGAUGCAGAUUUCAGAAGGGAGUGUAUCCUCAAAGCUCUCAUCAUCUACCUGGGAGAACGUGUUGAGGACCUUAUAAAGGAAUACAUGGUAUGUCCAGAUAUUUUCUGUCACA